GUGGGGAAUAUUGGACAAUGGGCGAAAGCCUGAUCCAGCCAUGCCGCGUGUGUGAAGAAGGUCUUCGGAUUGUAAAGCACUUUAAGUUGGGAGGAAGGGCAGUAAGUUAAUACCUUGCUGUUUUGACGUUACCGACAGAAUAAGCACCGGCUAACUUCGUGCCAGCAGCCGCGGUAAUACGAAGGGUGCAAGCGUUAAUCGGAAUUACUGGGCGUAAAGCGCGCGUAGGUGGUUUUGUAAGUUGGAGGUGAAAUCCCCGGGCUCAACCUGGGUACUGCCUCCAAAACUGCAUGACUAGAGUACGUUAGAGGGUAGUGGAAUUUCCUGUGUAGCGGAGAAAUGCGUAUAUAUAGGAAGGAACACCAGUGGCGAAGGCGACUACCUGGACUGAUACUGACACUGAGGUGCGAAAGCGUGGGGAGCAAACAGGAUUAGAAACCCCAGUAGUCC
rnacentral:rRNA from 1 species